AUGGCCGGUGGUAAAGGAGUGCAGCAACGCACCACCUCGGGUGGUUCCCAGUCGCCGGCUCCGGAGGAGCGGCGAGGGCGCAGCCGCUCCAGGCGCGGCCAUCGCGGUGAGGUCGUGGUUAGGGAGAUCGUGCGCGAGACCGCAAUCAGCGGUAGCGUGCCCAUCACCUUCCCGAUGCUCACGCGCUCGAACUACAGCGAGUGGGCGUUGAUCAUGGAGUGCAACCUUCAUGCGGCGAGCCUCUGGGCUCCCAUGGAGGACGACCUGGUCGAGAGAAAGGAGGACAGGAAAGCCGUGGCGGCACUCAUGCGCGCCACGCCGCCGGAGAUGCACAGCAUGCUCGCGGCGAAGGCAAGCGCCAAGGAGGCGUGGGAAGCCAUCCGUACCCAGCGCCUCGGCAGCAACCGCGUGCGUGAGGCGAACACGCAGAAGCUGCGGGCGGACUUCGAGAACAUCGCCUUCAAGGAGGGCGAGCUCGUCGACAACUUUGCCAUGCGAAUCUCCAGCCUUGCGUCAAAGCUCCGCGCACUCGGCGACACCAUGGACGACGUGAGAGUCGUGCGGAAAUUUCUCCGCGUCGUUCCACCUCGUUUCGCUCAGGUAGCGGUCUCCAUCAAGACUUUGCUUGACCUGAGCGAGCUCUCCAUCGAGGAGCUCACGGGCCGGUUGCGGGUGGUCGAGGACCGCCUUGAUGACGGCCGCGAGAGCUUCGGCGGCGGACAACUCCUAUUCUCGAAGAAGUGGGAGGCGAGGAAGCGUCAAGGACGUGGUGGCGGUGCCCAGAGCAGCGGAGGCGGCACCGGCAGAGACGGCGGUCGCACCCAGGGUGGAGCCGGACGAGGUGCCGGCAACGACGACCGAGACAAGUGCCGAUAUUGCAGCAUCAAGGGCCACUGGGCCCGUGAGUGCCGCAACAGGAUGGCUGACGAGGAUGCCACGGCUGCGGCGAACCUCGUCGAGGCUGAAGAGGACGGUGGGCCAGCAAUGAUGAUGGCUUGCGUCGAGACCAUGCAGGAGGGCAUAGCGCCUCCGGAGACCAUGGUCCCGACAAGCAUCGAAGCCGUGCAGGAGGGCGCAUCACCUCCGGAGACCACGGUGCCGGCAAUCGUUAAGUCCUUGCGGGAGGCAUGGAGCUCUUCAAGUAAUCCCCUCCCGACAUCGGUAGCGCUCUCCUCGGCAACAACGUUCUCGGGAGGCUACGAUUGGGAGGAGAUGAAGACCCGGGUGUGGGGGAGCCACACCCCGGAAACCACGUCCCCUGCGACGCUGGUCAAGCCCGUGCAAGUUGGCACGGCAAAGGUGUCCCCGACAUCCUCGGGACCCGACAAGCCCGUGUCAGGAGGCACGACAACGACGCAUCUGGUGGGCCAUGUCCCGACCAUGAUGCUGGCGACCAGUGAGCCCGUGCGAGAGGCACGACAUUCUCAGGUCGGCCACACCCCGACAACCAGGUUCUCGGGGUUCUGCAAGCCCGUGUGGCCGACACGGCACUCUUCAACAAGUCUCAACUUGGAGGCAAUGAAGAGACGGUCAUGGGGUGGCAAGGCCUCGACCGAGACUACGGCGACCAUAGAGUCCGUGCAGGAGGCACAACACUCUCUGGUCGGCUAUGCCGCGACCCCGACGCGCUCGGGGUCCAUCGAGUCCGUGCGGGACGCACGGGACUCUGUAGUUGGGCACGACCCGGCUACGCUGGUGGCGACCGUCGAGACCGUGCAGGAGGCACGGUGCUCUAUGGUCGGCCACGCCACAACCCCGACGCACUCGGGGUCCAUCGAGUCCGUGCGGGAGGCACGACUCACGAUAGUCAAGGGAGACCCGACAAGCAAGCCUGAUGGGAAGAGCACCAAGGACUCCACUACCCUGAGAGGAGCCACUCCGGUCAGUGUGGCGUCUGGCACAACGACCCCGGGAAGGGAGUUUCCGGGCAGUGCGGUGUCCGGCACGACGACCCCAGGAAGGGAGUUCCUGGGUAGUGCGAUGUCCAACAAGUCAUCCCCGGGAAGGGAGUUCCUGGGUAGCAUGACGUCCAACACGACGACCCCGGGAAAGGAGUUCCUGGGCAGUGUGACAUCAGGAACUACGACCCCAGGAACACUGACGCCCACGAGCGAGGUGGUUCCCGGGCAGUUCAUGUCCCCGCCAACAGCGCGGUCGGACUUGUUCGAUGCCAACAAAAAAUGGUGGCGAUCCACACAGGUUCCGAAGACUAGAGGAACCUUCUCGAGCCUGCGAGACGAUCGCAGCACCCGAGAUCAAGAAGCGCGAGCAGGGUGUACGGGCCAUACAUAG
rnacentral:rRNA from 1 species